AUGCCCCCCUUCGAAGAAGAGGGGGUAUAUUGCUUUGCUCAUGUCGGUCUGUCCGUCGGUUGGUCUGUCUGUCGGUCCGUCCACCAGGUGGUUGUCAGACGAUAACUCAAGAACGCUUGGGCCUAGGAUCAUGUAACUUCAUAGGUACAUUGACCAUGACUCGCAGAUGACCCCUAUUGAUUUUGAGGUCACUAGGUCAAAGGUCAAGGUCACGGUGACCCGAAAUAGUAAAAUGGUUUCUGGAUGAUAACUCAAGAAUGCAUACGCCUAGGAUCAUGAAACUUCAUGGGUAGAUUGAUCAUAACUCGCAGAUGACCCCUAUAGAUUUUGAGGUCACUAGGUCAAAGGUCAAGGUCACGGUGAC